CUAUUGAGCCAUGGUCAAUGUGGCUACAUGGUCGUGAUUCAUCAACCAAACAUGGGUUUUUGUCUUGAUAGAAAUCAAGGAUAUAGAGAACAUGACGCAGCACCGGUGGAUUUAGGAGAUACUUGGCACGAUCUUGCAUUGGGAAUAACACAGUAGAGGAGUGAGAGAUCUUAGAGCUGUCUGAUUGCACUUAUAGUGUUUCACAAAUGUAACAAUUUAACUGGGUUGGCAACGAUCCUCCAUGUAACAUCCGUCUAUUUUUUUUUAUUGUCAACUAACUUGUUUCGUAGUAGAACUUGUAUUAGUCAAUCGCUCUUAAUGUAUCGACUCAGAAUGUAGUGAAAGCUCGUGUAGAACAUCAAA